rnacentral:rRNA from 1 species
UACGGAGGGUGCAAGCGUUAUCCGGAUUCACUGGGUUUAAAGGGCGCGUAGGUGGGCAGGUAAGUCAGUGGUGAAAUCUCCGGGCUUAACUCGGAAACUGCCAUUGAUACUAUCUUUCUUGAAUACCGUGGAGGUCAGCGGAAUAUGUCAUGUAGCGGUGAAAUGCUUAGAUAUGACGUAGAACACCAAUUGCGAAGGCAGCUGGCUACACGAAUAUUGACACUGAUGGACGAAAGCGUGGGGAGCGAACAGG